GCAAGUCGAACGGCAGCAGCAUCUAGCUUGCUAGGUGGCUGGCGAGUGGCGGACGGGUGAGUAACGCGUAGGAAUCUACCUUGCAGUGGGGGACAACCCGAGGAAACUCGGGCUAAUACCGCAUACGAUUUGAGGAUGAAAGCGGGUCUUUCGGGGCACGCGCUGUGGGAUGAGCCUGCGUCCGAUUAGCUUGUUGGUGGGGUAAAGGCCUACCAAGGCGACGAUGGGUAGGGGUCCUGAGAGGGAGAUC
rnacentral:rRNA from 1 species